rnacentral:lncRNA from 1 species
GCCGUUAGUUUUCUCGUUUGAAUUGUUUUACAUUGUCUUAUCGGGGUCUUUUAUAGCUGACUAUGCGGUAUGGGCUUUGCUCGUUGUUGAAGGCCGUACGGUGACCUAUAGUUGUUAAUGUCUGUGUCAUUUUGGUCUUUUGUGGAUAGUUGUCUCAUUGGCAAUCAUACCACAUCUUCUUUUUAUAUUAUGUAAAAACCUAAAAGGUUUUUCGAUAACAGAAAAUGUACCAAUCGGUAGCAAAUGAUCUGCAAUCUACUUCUAGAAUAGUAAGAUAAAAACAAAUAGUUUGG